CACUGCUAGUAGCACCAAAAGCCUGAGAGUGAAACUGAUUUUCUGCGGUUUUCAUUGUCCAAGCUGAGAGAAAUGCAAAUAGAAGACAAACAUAAUAAAUAGAGACAGGAUCUGCUAUAAGCAUUGUCUAUGGUGUGAGAUCUGAGGUGCAAUUGACCUGGGGAGGGCUGGAAGCUGGACUUCACUGGAAUGUAACUGCCAGUGUCACUCUUCUUUCCCUUCAUGGAAACUGGAACCACUUUUGCUUUUCUUCCAUUUCCCAGGGACAUACAUAGACCGCCCACCCAAGAGGGUGCUCCACAACCAUUAAUCAGCAGGGGAGUUGUAAUCAAGGGAUUUACAAUUCAAUGACAGUUGCCCACGUCCACACAAUGGAGAGCUACUGGAUCAUUGUGAUUCAGCAAAGUUCACUGGGACAUGCUGGGCAAGUGUCUCCCAGGCACAUGGCUUGAGGGUAUAAAAUAAGGAACAGUUGCAGAGUGUCUUGGCCUUUCUCCUUCCCUACCUAUGCUGGAAACAACUGGAACCCCAAGAAGACAAAUGUCAUCCGAGGAGACUGGUCCAGUUUAAGGGGCAGCCUGUGUAUUAAAAUCUGUAACAUCCA